AUUGAACGCUAGCGGGAUGCCUUACACAUGCAAGUCGAACGGAGUGUCGAACGGGUGAGUAAUGUAUCGGCACGUGCCCCGUAGCGGGGGAUAACUACGCGAAAGCGUAGCUAAUACCGCCUACUAUUGGAGCGGCCGAUAUCGGAUUAGCGAGUUGGUGGGGUAACGGCUCACCAAGGCGAGGAUCCGUAGCGGGUUUGAGAGGACGACCAGCAACACUGGGACUGAGACACGGCCCAGACUCCUACGGGAGGCAGCAGUGGGGAAUGUUGGACAAUGGGGGAAACCCUGAUCCAGACAUCCCGCGUGUGCGAGAAAGGCCUACGGGUUGUAAAGCACUUUUGGCAGGAAAGCGGUACCUGCAGAAUAAGCACCGGCUAACUACGUGCCAGCAGACGCGGUAAUUC
rnacentral:rRNA from 1 species